rnacentral:ncRNA from 2 species
CUAGGGGUACGCAACUGGCGAUAGGAGCCUGGUGUUGGCAUUCAAUGCCCCCAGCCUCUGACGUGGAUACGAAAGGGCUUUGCCCCUCUUAAAACCACUGGGGAGCGUGCACCUUGCGCAGGUGUUGUGGCACAAGGUUUCAGCCGUUCGCCUGGGCAGCCCAU